GUGGGGAAUAUUGGACAAUGGGCGAAAGCCUGAUCCAGCCAUGUCGCGUGUGUGAAGAAGGUCUUCGGACUGUAAAGCACUUUAAGUUGGGAGGAAGGGCAGUAAGUUAAUACCUUGCUGUUUUGACGGUACCAACAGAAUAAGCACCGGCUAACUUCGUGCCAGCAGCCGCGGUAAUACGAAGGGUGCAAGCGUUAAUCGGAAUUACUGGGCGUAAAGCGCGCGUAGGUGGUUUUGUAAGUUGGAGGUGAAAUCCCCGGGCUCAACCUGGGAACUGCCUCCAAAACUGCAUGACUAGAGUACGGUAGAGGGUAGUGGAAUUUCCUGUGUAGCGGUGAAAUGCGUAGAUAUAGGAAGUAACACCAGUGGCGAAGGCGACUACCUGGACUGAUACUGACACUGAGGUGCGAAAGCGUGGGGAGCAAACAGGAUUAGAAACCCCGGUAGUCC
rnacentral:rRNA from 1 species